AUGGAUAAUUCUCAACAACAAUAUCUAUAUUACUGUAUGUGGAAGCAACGCACACUACUUGUCCUUUUUGUAAUGUUGGUCCUUUGGUGGAGCAAGAAAAAAGAGAGGAAGAAUAGAGCUAAACGUGUCAAGUAUGGUCCACUUGUCAAGAGAGAUAUUUGGAGGAGUACUGAACUAAUUAGACUGAUCCACACCUCGGAAAGGACGUGUUUGCGCCAGCUCAGGAUGUAUCCGGCCGUUUUCUACAAGCUGUGUGCUCACCUUAGGGACAAAAAGCUUUUGGCUGACACAAUUCAUGUGUCCGUAGAGGAGCAGCUAGCUAUGUUUCUGAAAAUUGUUGGGCAAUAUCACACUCAUUCCUCUGUAGGAUUUGCAUUGUGGCGAUCUGAAGAGACAGUGAGUAGGUAUUUUAACAUCGUCCUAUGUGCCCUUGUGAAGUUAGCCCGUGAAAUAAUCUGCACUCGGUCUACAGAUACACAUGCUAAGAUCACUACCAACCCAAACAAAUUUUAUCCCUACUUUGAGGUAACUCUAACCAGUGUGUUAUACUAG
rnacentral:rRNA from 1 species